GGUGUGCGCAGCGCAGCGCGGGGCUGGGUGACAGCGAGGGAGGGCAGGGGUGGGCUGGUGGCGUAGGGAGCUGUUUAUGCCUUGGAGCCUCACCUUUCAGUCCGGGAGCUCCCGGGCAGAGACGCCGUGAAGCAGCCUGCAUCCAGCAGGGUUCGUUGAGCGCAGGGCAAAUGCGGCUGUUGUGAGAACUGGAAUGAAAGCUCCGUAUUGCUAAAGGCCGGGUUACACGUAACAGGACUAAAUGUAUCUAACAGUUUACACUGGCAACAGGAAAACCUCCUCCUCCCCGUAAGAUUCUGUUGCACCACCUCCGCAAUACCUUUGCUCUGGUGUGGCAUUAACCCAGCGGAAAAAGAAAAGCAGAAUGGGCCAGGGAAGGGCUGGCAGAGGUGAUCAACUAUGAAGGCCGGUGCAACUUACACAGGCAGAGAAGAAACUAGCUAAUGCAGGAACUGAAAAUACAAGCUCAUCCUCGGACAUGGAGCUCUCUAUUCAGAGGAGGAAAUACUUAUUCAGAGAAAAAAUUGCUAGACAACUUUGUUUUACUUCCAGAACAUCAACUUUAACAAAGUUUAAUCUCUGGCAACCAGAAGAAGAGGAGUUAAGGCCUGCACGCCAGUGCAGAAUUAAGAUACCUCAAACACCAAGCCUGCUUUUUGGGCUGGCAGUAGCCACUGGGAAAUGUGCAGGUGUUCCUGCCAUGUUUACUGCAUCACCUGUUCUUUUAUAUAAGCGGAAGGAGGAAGUUGCUGGGUUGCGUAGCAGAAAUACAUUCCUACUGGAAGCCAGCUGGUGGAAAGCCACCUUUGGGUGGAGAAGUGUGAGUCUGCCUGGCCAUGUGGAAAAGAGGACCAGUAGUCUUGCUUCAGAGCUCCAUAUCAUAGGUCAUGUCCUCAGUGGAGCAAAGGAUUUUUGUCUUUUUUUACCCUGGAAAUUGCCAGCUGGGAUGCUGGAGGUGUGUGUGAUGUGUACUUGAAACAAGGUAAAUGAGAUAUUUGAUGGUACCUUGCAUAGAGUCAGCAGUUGUGCUCCUUCUGUUGAGUGUGUUAGGAAUUUCGGGUAGGCUUCCCAACAGUUAGACACCCUGAACAAGCACAGGAAAUUGCUGAAGAAGGGAAGGCUAGAGCUGGGAGAACCUGACUGUAUGAAGCACAUUCAAAUUGCCAUAAAGUGUAGUGAGUAUAUGAAUCUGUAGAGUUCACAGUCAGUAUUCAUCAAAAGGGCAAUUAUUGCCAGGUGACAUUAAAAUGCCCCUUCCUUUUCCUUUGUGAAUGAUUGUAAGCCUGUUUGCACUUUACUAGGGUGCUAUAAAACUAAGAAUGCUAAAUGGUCAGAGCUGAGUGAUAGUUCUUCCAACUCUAGAAGAGCCAGCAUUUCUCAUUUGUCUGGCAUCCACAAUUACUCUGAAAUUAGUAUAAUUUGUUUGGCUUAUUAUAGAAAAGCAUGAAAUUCUAUUCUCAAAAAGAGAUGGCAACUCACUGGAGACAGAAAAGCUUUCUCUUCUUCUGAUGUGGUUGGGCUGAGGCUAUAGUAAUAAGCUACAUGAAGACAAUGCCAUUGCCUGCAAAGGAGAUACUUAACUUUCCAUGCCUAACUUACCAUAUGCAAUAGCACUAGCCUAUUGGAUAAACUUUUGAGGAUGAAGUCAUGUUUGUUUUCUUUGCAACUGCAUGGACUGCCCCACUAAUUUGCCUUUUUAGUCACCUUGAACACUCCUGAGCAGGAAGUGACAGAAAGGUGUCAUCACGUUCGCGUUGUCUUUGGCUUCUCCUCCGAUACUGUCAACAAGCCAAAAUAUUUGAGCCAAUUAAAGGUUUAGGCUGAGAUA